rnacentral:lncRNA from 10 species
UUUUAUCUCUAAGCAUUUCACAACCUGGGGUUUCACUCUGAAACAAAAUUGAUAACAGCCCUUUCCUGAAAAGACUCCCUUCUUGCCUGGGGACCAGCCUGCCUUUGCAGGACUAACAGUUUAGCUAUAAGAUUAGAAAUUACCGUUUAGGGGUCAUGUAGCUUCUGGCUCCAAGAGUCUGAACCUCGCCAAGUUGCUCCUGAAGAUAACAUAACAAUUGUAAAAGCUAAGAUCAGUGCUUGAGGUAUUUUGGAGAUCCUACACUGGAUGGAUCAGCUGACAACACACAGACCGGUAAUCUGGGUCAAUCAGUUCUGCCAUCCCACCCACAACAGAAAACAGCAUGAAAAACUCACUUCAACCCUCUAUAAAUCCAUCUCCAACCUGACCGUUCAGCACUCCCCACUUCCCAAGCCCCUACCCGCCAAAUUAACUUUGAAAACUCUGAUCCAGAAAUGCUCGGGGAGACUGAUUUGAAUAAUAAUAAAACUCCUGUCUCCCGAACAGCCGGCUCUGCGUGAAUUACUAUUUCUCCUUACAAUUCCCCUGUCUUCACAAAUCGGCUCUCUCUAGGCAGCUGGCAAGGUGAAUCCACUGGACGUUUACACAGGGACCCCUCCUGCCAGCGCCUCAGUGUCCCUACGCCGGGUACCGGCUACAGACCCGUGAGCAGGAGCCUCUCCCUCGCUGGUUUAGGACCUGGGUGACGAUGAGGUGACCUGAGGGCACAGAAAACGCCACAAUUACCUGAGUAGGGCGCCUCGGCGCAGCCGCAGCCAUCGGACUACUUGGGGAAAGCACUGCCCGGGAGCAGCAGGCGCCCUCACCGGGCUGCAGAGCCGCCUCUGUGCACCGAGAACGGUUCCUCUCCACCUUCUGGGUUCAUUCACCGCAGUCCCACGUAGCAGUCCGGGGCCACUCACUGGGCAAACACGCGUAUCGCAGAUCAACGUGGCCGCUACAAGAGGACCCCGGAAGUCUCGGCCCUACAUUAGGCGCACACACGGAAAUGCUUCUUUCCGAGCCCUCAUUGGCUCUGACGGCAUUCAUUCAACGCAGAGCUUUCUGAGUAAUGUAGUUGACCAGGUUUCAAGGCUGUAAAGAGGGCGCUACCCAGAGGUGCAUCUGCAGGAAAAGCCCACCGUCAUGUCAGGAACUCUCCUUAAAAGCGCGCCCUGAGGCCGGGCGCGGUGGCUCACGCCAGUAAUCCCAGCACUUUUGGAGGCUGAGGCGGGCGGAUCGCGAGGUCAGGAGAUCGAGACCAUCCUGGCUAACACGGUGAAACCCCGUGUCUACUAAAAAUUCAAAAAAAAAAAGUUAGCUGGGCGUGGUGGCGGGCGCCUAUAGUCACAGCUACUCUGGAGGCUGAGGCUGGAGGAGAAUGGCGUGAACCUCCUUGCAGUGAGCUGGGAUCGCGCCACUGCCCUCCAGCCUGCGCGACAGAGCAAGACUCUGUCUCAAAAAAAAAAAAAAAAAAAAAAAAAAGGCGCCUUUCUAGGGCAGAGGAGGGGUCUCACCUAGCCUUAGAAGCCGUAUUGAGAUUCCUGGAGACUAGUGUCUGUAACUAAUCACUCAAGAAUUUGGAAAAAUACUACUUCAGAUUUCGGGGAGCUCAAGGUAAAUAAUAGAUUACCACACCGUUUGAAACAGUCGUUCAGUCGCAAAAUACCUGCACUGGAAGCAGAAGCUGAUAAGCGUUGUUGUGUUAUAAUGUGUCUGAAGGCCCUCAGAAGCCUUAGAGUGCCUAAGGCAAAUGAAGGAAGUUAGGGAUGUGCUCCCCUACAGCAGGAGUGCAAAGCUGAAUCUCUGUGAUUCCUACAGAAAACAACUCUCCUGCUGAUAGAAUCUGUGAAAGGAAAAUCUUGUGGCCUCAAAAUUACUAAGCUAAAGGGAAAAGUCAAUCUGGGAACUGCUCAGGGCAAACUUGCCUCCCAUUCUAUUCAGUCAUUGCUCUCCUCACUGAGAUAGGUGCAUAGUCUGAUUGCCUCCUUUGGAAACACUUAUCAGAAACUAAAAAGAAUCCAACUAUUUGUCUCUCACCUACAUGUGACCUGGAAGUCCCCUCCCUGCUUGGAGUUGUCCCCGCCUUUCUGGUCAGAACCGAUGUAAUUCUUACAAAUAUUCACUGAUGUCUCAUGCCCCCCUAAAAUGUAUUAA